rnacentral:tRNA from 1 species
GUUGUCGUGGCCCAGUGGUAGGGCGUUGCAUUGGUAAUGCAGAGGUCGCGAGUUCAAAUCUCGCCGAUAACA